CGCUACACCUCGGGAGAGCGUCACCGGGCCGCAAGGCCCCGGGUGGCCGCCGAAGGAGCAAUACCUCCUCGUCAAACUCUCAGGCACCCAGGACCGUGGUGUUGAC
rnacentral:ncRNA from 2 species